rnacentral:rRNA from 1 species
UACGUAGGGUGCGAGCGUUAAUCGGAAUUACUGGGCGUAAAGCGUGCGCAGGCGGUUUUGUAAGCCAGAUGUGAAAUCCCCGGGCUUAACCUGGGAAUGGCAUUUGGGACUGCAAGGCUUGAGUGCGGCAGAGGAGACUGGAAUUCCCGGUGUAGCGGUGAAAUGCGCAGAUAUCGGGAAGAACACCCGUGGCGAAGGCGGCACUCUGGGACGGUACUGACGCUGAGAAGCGAAAGCAUGGGGAGCGAACAGG